GGGCCCGUGGCGUAGAAUGGACAGCGCACCGGCCUUCUAAGUCGGGGGUCGCGGGUUCGAAUCCCGCCGGGCCCG
rnacentral:tRNA from 1 species